GACGAACGCUGGCGGCGUGCUUAACACAUGCAAGUCGAACGGAAAGGCCCUGCUUUUGUGGGGUGCUCGAGUGGCGAACGGGUGAGUAACACGUGAGUAACCUGCCCUUGACUUUGGGAUAACUUCAGGAAACUGGGGCUAAUACCGGAUAGGAGCUCCUGCUGCAUGGUGGGGGUUGGAAAGUUUCGGCGGUUGGGGGUGGACUCGCGGCUUAUCAGCUUGUUGGUGGGGUAGUGGCUUACCAAGGCUUUGACGGGUAGCCGGCCUGAGAGGGGGACCGGCCACAUUGGGACUGAGAGACGGCCCAGACUCCUACGGGAGGCAGCGGUGGGGAAUAUUGCGCAAUGGGCGGAAGCCUGAGGCAGCAACGCCGCGUGCGGGAUGACGGCCUUCGGGUGGUAAACCGCUUUCGCCUGUGACGAAGCGUGAGUGACGGUAAUGGGUAAAGAAGCACCGGCUAACUACGUG
rnacentral:rRNA from 1 species